CUACCAACUUCAUCUCUUCCUUUUUGUCUAUUCUGUGACUACCACCAAGCCUCUACCACAGUGUAAUCCACUUGUAGCUCAGCAGGCCCUAGUGGAUAAAAUUGAGGCCUUUUUGCCCUUGUUACAUGAGUGAAACUCAUUUGACACCACCAUUUCAAAUGAGCAUUGGUAGUCUUUCCAAAAGGAAUUCUGGCCCCCUCUGGACAUCAAGCUAAAGAGACUCCCUGCUACCACGUAAGCACCUUCCAGCCCC